rnacentral:lncRNA from 1 species
GUAGAACUUGAUAAAGUUCAACAGAUAGAACCGACAUAGUCUAGUAAACCCACAAAGCCAAAUUUGACGAUGUUAAAUCCGAAAUCUAUUGUAGAGGCACCAUUAAGGUGAUUUGAUAGACUAUCGCAUCAAUCGGACAUAUACUAUGAUUUUUUGAUCCGAGAUGGGGAUCCUAUUAAACUUGAUGCCAUGAAGUUCGAAAUAGAGUCCAUGAAGGUCAAUGAUGUAUGGACAUUAGUUGACCCACCUGAAGGGGUUAAACCCAAAGGGUGCAAAUGGAUCUUCAAAAGAAAGAGGGGUGU